rnacentral:rRNA from 1 species
UGACUNGAGUGCAGAAGGGGAGAGUGGAAUUCCAUGUGUAGCGGUGAAAUGCGUAGAUAUAUGGAGGAACACCAGUGGCGAAAGCGGCUCUCUGGUCUGUCACUGACGCUGAGGCUNGAAAGCGUGGGUAGCGAACAGGAUUAGAUACCCUGGUAGUCCACGCCGUAAACGAUGAGUGCUAGGUGUUAGGCCCUUUCCGGGGCUUAGUGCCGGAGCUAACGCAAUAAGCACUCCGCCUGGGGAGUACGACCGCAAGGUUGAAACUCAAAGGAAUUGACGGGGGCCCGCACAAGCGGUGGAGCAUGUGGUUUAAUUCGAAGCAACGCGAAGAACCUUACCAGGUCUUGACAUCCCGAUGCUAUUCUUAGAGAUAGGAAGUUACUUCGGUACAUCGGAGACAGGUGGUGCAUGGUUGUCGUCAGCUCGUGUCGUGAGAUGUUGGGUUAAGUCCCGCAACGAGCGCAACCCUUAUUGUUAGUUGCCAUCAUUAAGUUGGGCACUCUAGCGAGACUGCCGGUAAUAAACCGGAGGAAGGUGGGGAUGACGUCAAAUCAUCAUGCCCCUUAUGACCUGGGCUACACACGUGCUACAAUGGUCGGUACAACGAGUUGCGAGCCGGUGACGGCAAGCUAAUCUCUGAAAGCCGAUCUCAGUUCGGAUUGGAGGCUGCAACUCGCCUCCAUGAAGUCGGAAUCGCUAGUAAUCGCGGAUCAGCACGCCGCGGUGAAUACGUUCCCGGGCCUUGUACACACCGCCCGUCACACCACGAGAGUUUGUAACACCCGAAGUCGGUGAGGUAACCUUUUAGGGGCCAGCCG